AGGAUAAACGCUGGCGGCGUGCCUAACACAUGCAAGUCGAACGCGCUUUCGGGCUUCGGUGCGAGAGCGAGUGGCGGACGGGUGAGUAACACAUGGGUACCUACCUUGGAGUGAGGGAUACCGGCGAGAAAUCGCCGACAAUACCGCAUAGGCUUCUUCACAAGGGAAGCAAAGUGACGCGAGUCACGCUGUGAGAUGGGCCUGUGGCCGAUUAGCUAGUUGGGGGGUAACGGCUUCCCAAGGCGACGAUCGGUAGCUGGUCUGAGAGGACGAUCAGCCACACUGGGAUUGAGAACGGCCCAGACUCCUACGGGGGCAGCAGUGAGGAAUUUUCCGCAAUGGAGGCAACUCUGACGGAGCAACGCCGCGUGCAGGAGGAAGGUUUUCGGAUCGUAAACUGCUUUUCGUCGGGGUACGAGCAAGGACGGUACCCGAGGAAGAAGCCCCGGCUAACUACGCGCCAGCAGCCGC
rnacentral:rRNA from 1 species